GGGAUGGUGACAAUGGGGUGGUCACAAUGGGGACAGUGACAAUGGGAUGGUGACAAUGGGAUGGGGACAAUGGGACAGGGAUGGGGACAAUGGGAUGGUGACAAUGGGGACAGUGACAAUGGGAUGGGGACAAUGGGGUGGUGACAAUGGGGGUGUGACAAUGGGAUGGUGACAAUGGGGUGGUGACAAUGGGGCACUGAUGGUGACAAUGGGGAUGGGGACAAUGGGAUGGGGACAAUGGGAUGGUGACAAUGGGGUGGUGACAAUGGGGACAGUGACAAUGGGAUGGUGACAAUGGGAUGGUGACAAUGGGGCACUGAUGGUGACAAUGGGGAUGGGGACAAUGGGAUGGGGACAAUGGGACAGGGAGGGUGACAAUGGGGGGGGUGACAAUGGGGACAGUGACAAUGGGAUGGGGACAAUGGGGCACUGAUGGUGACAAUGGGGACGGGAUGGUGGCAAUGGGGCAGUGAUGGCGCCAUGGGGACGGUGCUAUGGGGACAGUGACACAGGGAUGGUGACAAUGGGACAGGGAUGGUGGCAAUGGGGCCGGGAUGGUGACAAUGGGGACAGUGACAAUGGGGACGGGGAUGGUGACAAUGGGGACAGGGAUGGUGACAAUGGGGCAGGGAUGGCGCCAUGGGGACGGUGCUAUGGGGACAGUGACACAGGGAUGGUGGCAAUGGGGCAGGGAUGGUGACAAUGGGGCACUGAUGGUGACAAUGGGGCAGGGUUGGCGCCAUGGGGACGGUGCUAUGGGGACAGUGACACAGGGAUGGUGACAAUGGGGACAUGAUGGUGGCAAUGGGGCAGGGAUGGCGCCAUGGGGACGGUGCUAUGGGGACAGUGACACAGGGAUGGUGACAAUGGGAUGGUGGCAAUGGGGCAGGGAUGGCGCCAUGGGGACGGUGCUAUGGGGACAGUGACACAGGGAUGGUGACAAUGGGGACAGGGAUGGUGGCAAUGGGGCCGCGGCGCCCCGGUGCGGGUGACACAGCGCCCGGUGACGGGGACAGGAUGGGGCCCCCCACCCCCCACCCCCCCCCCCCCCCGCCCCACACUUCCUGCCCCACUGCAGCGCCGCGGUUUCCUGCCGGGGGGGGGGGGGGUGGGGACGGGGACGGUCCCAAAGGCGGCGG
ensembl:lncRNA